UACGUGGGGUGCGAGCGUUGUCCGGAAUUAUUGGGCGUAAAGAGCUCGUAGGCGGUUUGUCGCGUCCGCCGUGAAAACUUGGGGCUUAACCCCGAGCCUGCGGUCGAUACGGGCAGACUUGAGUUCGGCAGGGGAGACUGGAAUUCCUGGUGUAGCGGUGAAAUGCGCAGAUAUCAGGAGGAACACCGGUGGCGAAGGCGGGUCUCUGGGCCGAUACUGACGCUGAGGAGCGAAAGCGUGGGGAGCGAACAGG
rnacentral:rRNA from 1 species